GGAUGUGAGGGCAAUCUGGCAGUGAUAUCUGUCACCCCAUUGAUCGGCAGAGGUGAUUCAGAUGAUCUGGCUAGCCAGGCAGGUGUUGUCUUCUUCUUCCCUCACCAGUCCAUGUGCAUCUUUCCCAGGGGUGGGAUUCAAAUUUUUUAACAACUGAUUCUGAGGGUGUGGCUAGGUGGGUGUGGCCAUAUGACUGUGUGGGCGUGGAUUCUUUUCUUCUUUUUUUGCAUCAACACCCCCCCCAUUUUUUGCCUCCUGAGCCUCAGGGAAGUCUUCUGGGGGGC
rnacentral:snRNA from 1 species